rnacentral:rRNA from 1 species
AUAUUGGACAAGUGGGUGAACGCUGAUCCAGCCAUCCCGCGUGUGUCAAGAAGGUAAUCGGAUUGUAAAGCACUUUAAGUUGGGAGGAAGAGUUGUAGGCUAAUACCUUGCAAUUUUGACGUUACCAACAGAAUAAGCACUGGCUAACUUCAUGCCAGCAGCCGCGGUAAUACGAAGGGUGCAAGCGUUAAGCGGAAUUACUGGGCGUAAAACGCUCGUAGGUGGUUCGUUAAGUUGGAAGUGAAAGCCCCGGGCUUAACCUGGGAAUUGCUUUCAAAACUGACGAGCUAGAGUACGGUAGAGGGUAGUGGAAUUUCCUGUGUAGCGGUGAAAUGCGUAGAUAUAGGAAGGAACAUCAGUGGCGAAGGCGACUACCUGGACUGAUACUGACACUGAGGUGCGAAAGCGUGGGGAGCAAACAGG